GGGGGCGUCCCGGUUUCGACGUGGGUCGUGAAAUCCAAGGAGCAUGCCGGGGCGUAUGAGGACCUCGUUAAAAACAUACACUUUGUAGUCGGCAACGAUUACGCACUCGCAGCUUAAUUGACUGCGCAUGAGCCCGGUGAGCGGUUGCGGCGCCGGAACUCGUGUAACUUUAGCGACCUCGACUUGAGAGUGUUUUCGCCAGGCUCUUGAGUUUAAAAAUGCUGGUGAUGUGAGUCGCAGAAGUUUGUCGAUGGACGUCUGCGCCUCGAAAUUAAAACAUCGACUAAGCAUGUAGCCCGCCUUGUGACGGAACACUUACGGACGGGGGUUCGACUCCCCCCGCCUCCAUAU
rnacentral:tmRNA from 1 species